rnacentral:rRNA from 1 species
AGCGGCAGCCUAACACAUGCAAGUCGAACGGUAACUUUUGGUGCUUGCACCGAAAGACGAGUGGCGAACGGGUGCGUAACGCGUAUGCAAUCUGCCUUUUACUAGGGUAUAGCCCAGAGAAAUUUGGAUUAAUCCCCUAUAACAUCAUUUUUCCGCAUGGUUAAAUGAUUAAAGCUUCGGCGGUAAAAGAUGAGCAUGCGUCUUAUUAGUUUGUAGGUGAGGUAACGGCUCACCUAGACUACGAUAGGUAGGGGCCCUGAGAGGGGGACCCCCCACACUGGUACUGAGACACGGACCAGACUCCUACGGGAGGCAGCAGUGAGGAAUAUUGGACAAUGGACGAAAGUCUGAUCCAGCUAUGCCGCGUGCAGGAUGACGGCCCUACGGGUUGUAAACUGCUUUUAUACAGGAAGAAAUACCCCGACGUGUCGGGGCUUGACGGUACUGUAAGAAUAAGGAUCGGCUAACUCCGUGCCAGCAGCCGCGGUAAUACGGAGGAUUCGAGCGUUAUCCGGAAUCAUUGGGUUUAAAGGGUCCGUAGGCGGUUUUUUAAGUCAGAGGUGAAAUCCUGCAGCUCAACUGUAGAAUUGCCUUUGAAACUGAAAAACUUGAGUUAUUGUGAAGUGGUUAGAAUGUGUGGUGUAGCGGUGAAAUGCAUAGAUAUCACACAGAAUACCAAUUGCGAAGGCAGAUCACUAACAAUAUACUGACGCUCAGGGACGAAAGCGUGGGUAGCGAACAGGAUUAGAUACCCUGGUAGUCCACGCCGUAAACGAUGGAUACUAGCUGUAUGUCUACCUCAGGUAGAUGUGUGGCCAAGCGAAAGUGAUAAGUAUCCCACCUGGGGAGUACGAU